CACAGAGCGUGAUUGGGGAUCUCAGACCCCGUCAGUCUGAUUGGCUAUAGCAUCCAGAGCCGCCUGGCUAUAUGUAUUAAAUAAAGAUCAUUUGAAUUGUUCGUGGUGGUGUGGCGUCUGUUGCUUCUCUGAGUGGUCUACCUGUGGGAGGGAAUAAAGGGGGUCGCUAGAGGGGGACCUUUUCCCUACCCAGGAGGUUUAUUACACUGGUGGCAGCGGUGGGAUCAUGUCUGACUCAGAGAACACAGCGCACCCACCUGCAGGACCAUCGGGGCCGGGCAGUAAUCCAGUAGCACGAACAGCUCGCCCAGUGUUUAUGCCUGAGACUUUCACGGGAAUUAGCCGGGAGUGGUCGGAUUGGGUGGCUCAAUUUGAAGUAGCCGCUGAGGUGAAUGGGUGGGAUAAUGCUUUAAAAAUGAAGUUCAUGUCGUUACUUUUGUCGGGCCGUGCUAGAGAGUUGUACUCGGGGCUACACUCCUCCGCCCUUAAUGACUAUGGGAGUUUAAAAGAGGCGCUUGGAAGAUGCUUUGAACCGUGCGACAGCGAGGACUGGAAUAGGGCCAACUUCUUGUCUCGCAGACGCUUACCAAACGAGGCCGCCCGUGAUUUUGGCACGGCUUUGCGCCGUCUGAUUUAUAAAGCUUACCCUCUGGCAGAUAAUGUCACUCGAGAUAUGUUUGCCCGCGACCACUUUGUUGAACAUGUGGGGAGUGGCGAUUUGAGAAUACACCUCCGUAGUCAGAAACCUAACACAUUGGAGGAGGCCAUUAAUAUAGCGUCUGAGUUGGAAAUGAUAAAGAGCUUGGAAAUGUCCCAAAUUAGUCAUGACACCAGGGUGCGAGCUGUGGUUGAGAAAUCGCCUAGCGACAAACAAAUGGAGCUUCUGCUGGGAGUGGUAGAGGGUCUAAGACAAGAAGUUAAAACUCUUCAGCAUAGUGUUGCAUCUCUACAGGCCCCCGUGAACAAUAGAAUGAUGCGAAAUCGCCAGGACGAAUGGGGGAGACGUGGUCAGAAUAAUGGACCUGAGCGCGCAACAGCAGCCCGUGAGCGAGAUGCGUGCUGGGAAUGUGGGUGCACAAAGCACCUGCGUCGUAAUUGCCCCUACUUGCAGGGAAACUAGAAGGGGUGGGUACAGUGGGCCGAAUGCCCGCCCCUUUCUGCAGAUCUGCAAGACUGGCCUACAACCAUCCGGAUAGCCCAGGCGUCUACCUUAAUGCAAAAAUAGGGGAGCCAUCAGAAACCCUGAGGGACCACACAGAGCCAGACGACCUCCCUGCCCCGUCUGCAUCCCAGGCCAGUCAGGCUACAGGGGGAGUGCAGUGUGAUGAGGAUGGUGCGGAGCGGGAGGUGACAUCUAUUGUGCCGUUGCUGGGGGAGGCAGUGCCUGUGGCGGAUCCAGAACAGCGCGCACAGGAGCCUCCGCAGGAGCAGAAUGGAGACUGGUCUGCCGAGCCAGGUCUGGAAACCAGCGCGCAGGACCAGCAGGGAGCCAGUGAGGUGGGGAUGGGUGAGGGGGCUCACCCCUCCCUCAUGGGACCUGUACGUCCCCAGCGGGACAGGCGGCGGCCUGCCUGGACUACUGAUUUUCAACUCGGGUCGGACUGACUCGGGGACGAGUCUCUUUUCAUUGGGAAGGGAGAAGUGUGGUGGACUGAUGGGAUAAUAGGGGGGAGAUAAUGAUUGCAUUGGGCUUGCUGCCUAAUUGGCCUAAUGAGACUCACCUGUGCAGAAGGAUAAAGCCAUGCAGGUGAGCAAGGUGCGCGAGAGAGCCGGGACUGAUUAAGUGUACAAGCGGAACGCCAGGAGCGCGUUGGUCAACGAGGGGACGAAUUGUGCUGGUCGCGGUCAGUAGGAUCGCCGCCAGUGAAGAUAGUUAGUGGGGGGAUGUUUUAGCAUAGACCUUGUGUAAAUUCUAGACUGACGUCGCGACUGGCGGCUGCGCUUUGGACUGAGCUAUUGGACUCUUACGGCCCGGCUUUACAUACUGGAGCUUAUACAUGCUGGCACUUACAUACUGGAACUUACAUACUGGAGCUUAUACAUACUGGGACUUACAUACUGGAGCUUACAUACUGGGACUUAUUCCUUGGAACUACACCCGGGAACUUGCAUGUUGCGAUUGGACAACCGCUGACCACUUGAGGGCGAAGUCACGGUCCAUGGCGAUCAGACCCCAGGGGAGGGUCUUGGGGAGCAGGGAAGUUCCCAUUUUAAUCCAUUAACUCAC